UCCAGGGUGGCUACCCUGUGGUAGUGGACAUGGCAUCUGCCCGGUAAGCGGAACACUGUGGGUUCGAUUCCAACCCCUGGAC